GAUGAACGCUGGCGGCGUGCCUAAUACAUGCAAGUCGAGCGAACGGACGAGAAGCUUGCUUCUCUGAUGUUAGCGGCGGACGGGUGAGUAACACGUGGAUAACCUACCUAUAAGACUGGGAUAACUUCGGAAAACCGGAGCUAAUACCGGAUGAUAUUUUGAACCGCAUGGUUCAAAAGUGAAAGACGGUCUUGCUGUCACUUAUAGAUGGAUCCGCGCUGCAUUAGCUAGUUGGUAAGGUAACGGCUUACCAAGGCAACGAUGCAUAGCCGACCUGAGGGGGUGAUCGGCCACACUGGAACUGAGACACGGUCCAGACUCCUACGGGAGGCAGCAGUAGGGAAUCUUCCGCAAUGGGCGAAAGCCUGACGGAGCAACGCCGCGUGAGUGAUGAAGGUCUUCGGAUCGUAAAACUCUGUUAUUAGGGAAGAACAUAUGUGUAAGUAACUGUGCACAUCUUGACGGUACCUAAUCAGAAAGCCACGGCUAACUACGUG
rnacentral:rRNA from 1 species